rnacentral:lncRNA from 1 species
GAGCUCUAGUACUUAUAUUUGCAUAUAUAUCUAUAUUGAGAGUUCAUAGUUUCGGUUGUAUUACACUUAUUCAUUGUAUUGUUCAAGGUGUAAUGUUUUGUUGCUGUGUAUCGAGCUUGUGAAACAAGGGAACAAGGGAACUAGUUAGCUAGAAGAAUAUACUUGGGAAGUAUAGGUCUUGGUAGGCUUUUGGUUCGUGGUUCAGGGGUUUCAGCAGGCUGAUAACAGGAACAAGGGAGAAAGGGAGUUAUAUUAUUGAAUCUUGUAAUCGUUGAUAUUAUUGAUUAAUAAUAUAAUCUCUUACCAGUUGGUAGGGGACCAGGACGUAGACCAUUAGGGUUAGGGGUCGAACCUGGCUAAAAUUCUCGGUGUUGCUAGCAUACUGCUUUACAUUAUCUGCAUUGCAUUUAUCUUAUUAGCAGGCUAACAGUUUACUCUGGAAAUUAACAGCAGGCUGUCAUUGACAGAUUAAUUAUUCGGUAACUUAUAAAAAUCGGGUAUAUUAGCCAUAACACCUAUUCACCCCCCCUCUAGGUGUAUAAUUUCAGA